rnacentral:tRNA from 1 species
GGGACUGUAGCUCAGUGGUACAGCCCUUGCCUAGCAAGCAUGAAGCCCUAGGUUCGAUUCCCUGUAAUGCAG